AUGGCUUUAAUUUAUGGUAAACUUUUACAGGGAAAAAAGAAGAAAAUCAUCAAGGAGAGUGAAAAAGGUACCUUUUCGAUGUUAAAAGAAAAAUGCGGAGAGAGUGGCUCAUCAUCAUCUGAACAAUUGGAUUCUGGAGAUGAGCUUAUCAACAAGAAUAAGUAUGAUGAACUUUUGCGAGACUACAGAAACUCAGAAAAGGCCAAUGAAAAAUUGGAAAAUGAAUUAUCUCGUUCGAAAAAGAGGGUUGAAAAAUUAGAGGACACGAACGAAAAACUUUCAAAUGACUUGAGCUGUCAAAGUAAGAAGAUGGCUAUGAUUGAAAAUCUCAACUUUCAAUAUCAAGCCAAAAUGUUAGCAGACAAGGCAGAUACAAAGGUCCCAAGUAGUCAGGUGAAAAGUCGGAAUCCUUUACCAACGACUCCAUUGCUGUCCAGCACUCCAAGUGCAAAAAAAGUCUUGUUCCCUGAAGAGAAAAAUCAAGAUAAUGUUGUUUCUUCUCCCUCAAAGUCGAUUUGGAGGGUAUCAAGCCCAAAGGCUCUGUCCCCAAUAUGUGCGUCUGAAUCAAAGGCUCUGUCCCCAAUAUGUGUGUCUGAAUCGUCGCCAACAAAAAUCAUCGAACUGGAAGAACCCGCACCACCUUCCAAGAAACCACGGUUGCUUUUGAAUGUGACACCGAAAAAGAUGAAGAAGGUUUUAUUGAAUGUAAAAGAUCAGAAACGCGGAGACAGCCAGUUUGUGAAAAAUUUGGCUCAUGUUGUUUUUGGGGUACCACUUCUUAUUGCUUCAUCUGUGACAGGAAAAACCUACAAUCAAGACAAGUUCGCUAAAACCUAUCCAGCUCUCCCAAAAGAGGGUGUUGAGUAUAUUAAAGAAUGCUUCAAUGACCGAAUGAAGAAGGAAACUCCAGUCCCAUCAAAAGCAGAAAUGGAAAUAAGGGUGGAAAAAGUAAAGACCUACCUUAGCGAAAAAAUCAAAGACCUCCGGCGCGCCCUCAAAAAUUGCAAAAAAGUUUCAAAAGAAACAUUGGAAGCAGUUAAUAAGGAAGAAACAUCAGAAGCAGUUAAGGAAGAAACAUCAGAAGCAGUUAAUAUGGAAACAUCAGAAGCAGUUAAAAAUGAAACAUUGGAAGCCGUUCAGGAAGAAAGCUAAGUAGGAAAGCUAAGUUGGGUACUUAGCGACUACUCAUUUGUACGUAUCAAACUGCAUUUUCUUAAAAUAGUUCAUAGCACCCAACAUAGGUGAUGUUCACCGCAAGAAAAGAUUUUUCAAAUAUUAUAAUACCUAUUAAUUUUAAUCAUUUUGUAAAAGAAGUUUCCAAUUUCAUUUUGCUGUACUUUUUAUAAUACAUUUCAUAGACAUUUCAAUAUGAUUCCUUUCAUUUUAAACUAAAAAAAUAAAAUUUGACAUAUUUCUGCCAAAAGGAACUAUGUGCAUUAAGACAUAAACCCUGAGACCCAUAAGACUUAUUGCAUAACAGAGCUCACGUCAUAAUGCACCUAGUUUUGUUUGGCAGAAAUACGUGCAAAUGUCCAUAGGGGCACAUGUUAAAUCGGCCUCUGUGGGAAUCGAACCUCUCAUGAUUGCCCAUGAAAUUUGUUGUCUGUACGGGGAACCGUGGUUUUUCACAGGCCUGAAUAUCAUGUGCCCCAUGGGAUACGUCAUUCCCAUGUGCUCCCAUGGGGACACUUACUGCCCAUAGGCCCCAUGGGGAGACCACGUUCCCUUGGGCCCCCAUGGGGAGACCUCGUUCCCUUGGGCCCCAUGGGGAGACCUCGUUCCCAUGGGCCCCCAUGGGGAGACCUCGUUCCCAUGGGCCCCCUGAGU
rnacentral:lncRNA from 1 species